UGCUGGUGGCACUAACGCCAUCAAUUAAACGGGAAGUUGGUGAACGUUUUUUGUGAAUCCAACGCUGCCCCCGCAACGGUGAUCGAGAUAAGAACGGCUAGAGACGCCACUGUGCUUACGCAUGGGAAGGUGGUCGUUCGGAAAGGUAUGGCGCUUACGUUAAGCCGCCCCUUCUUUCGCUCGUCAGCCCGGAGACCGGCCUAAGAGUG
rnacentral:ncRNA from 1 species